ensembl:lncRNA
GCCAUUAAUGCCUUGAGUUCUGAAGCCCAGCCUGGUAGAAGGACUUUUGGUGUCCCAGACCUUGCCUUAUCUUGCCUGGAAAUCCAGGAUGGGGAUGUGUGUCAGGGGUCCUUAAGACCAUGCUCAGAUUCAGUAAUUCACUUGGAGGCCUCACAGGACUCAGCAUAUAGUUGUAGUCAUGACUGAUUCAUUAUUAAGACACUCAGUACAGGGAAACUGUGCAUAGGGCACAGUAAAAGAAUACCACUGCAAGCUUCCAGAGGUCCUUUUCAGAGUCACAGAGGAACAUACUUAAUUCUCCAUGUAUGAAAUGUUGCCAGUCAGGGAGGCUUGGUAAAGUGCUCAGCAUUUUUACUGGUAGUUACCCAUAUAGGCAUCUUCUGGCUAGCACAUGUCAAAGUCCCAGAGUCUCAGAAGGUGUUCAACAAAAACUGAAUUUUUAUAUAAACAGUUUAGUCACUGCUGGUCAUUCUCACCAGUUCUGGGAAUGGUAGGAACCCUCUUGACGUUCAAGUUCCGGACAUUGGCCAAGGGCCCAUCUUGCAAGCAAGGUUUUCAAAGGAUAGUAGUCAGGCUUGCUGUAUUAAUUAUUGUCUACAUGGGAGAUUCCAUCAUGUUGGGUCUUUGUUGUGAUUACCCACUAACUUACCUUAUAGGUAUCCCUCUGCAUCCAGCUGCUGAAGAAGCACAGAUGUAACUACUGCCUAUCUCUGCAGUCAAGAGACAGGAGCAGCCUGGCCUGUGGUCCCUAAGGAGAGAACCAAACAGCUGCCCACCCCAGUCCAGCACUGCUUCUGAAGCUGGGAGCUUCCUCUCUCUUCUCUGCCCUCACCCUUCACUACCCGGAGAAUUAUAGUUUACCUACAGGAGUCCCAGCUCCUGUAUUCUUAUACCCACACCAGGUCUGAAGAUACAAUACUUUGAUUCUUUCCUAGCUACCUUGCCUCAGUUUCCUCAAGAGUAGAAACUUAUGGUUUAAAAUGAGCCCCACAUUUACUGGGCACCCUACACUGAACUACUACAGGAACACAAAUAGUACUCUGUGCAAUUUAGUGCUUACGUUACACCUGCUCUCAGAUAGUGUGCAAGAGGAAAUAUUAAUUCUUAUAGGCCACCAAGGGCUCCUGCUCAUGACCAGAAUGUGUCAGCUGUCAAUUUCUUUACUGCUACAGAACAGAUUCUACUGGACCCCUCAAAGGGGCUGGAGUCCCAAGUUUCCAGGGCACAUGGUGAAAUGUGAGAGAAAUGAAGCCAGUAGGUGAACAAGGCUUGUACUCCAUCAGCUGAGCCUCACAGAAAGAGCCUUCCAGGCUAAACAAGGGGAUUAGUCCUGUGGCUCAGGAAAAUGAUCAAGCCUGUGAUCAUCCAGUCUUAAAACUGCAGCAAAACAACUUACAGAUUUUACUCAAUACUCCAGGAAGCGUUUCAUGAGGCAUAUAAUUGUUAUUUUUAAAUAUAAAUGGCAUUACAUAUGAGUUUCCUGUGUUUCUCACUGGUUUCAGUAUGGCUUUAAUAAUCCUGGUGUCUAAUAAUCUAACAAUAAUGAGAUAUACAGUGAUAUCUCAGUUCAUGAACUUGAUUCUUUCCACAUUUCUGGUCACUAACUGAGUUGGACAAGAAUAGAACCAAAUUGAAUGGUUAGGUUCAAUGUUGAGCUCAAGGAAAAAUUUGAUUUGGUUCUCAUACAGUUUGGUGUGUGACCAGAAUCUUGGAGAGAAUUGAGUUCGGGAACCAAGGUACCACUGUAUACGAAUGUCAGUAGUGCAAAUAAUGUUUUUAAAA